rnacentral:rRNA from 1 species
UAGGGAAUCUUCGGCAAUGGGGGGAACCCUGACCGAGCAACGCCGCGUGAGUGAAGAAGGUUUUCGGAUCGUAAAGCUCUGUUGUUAAGGAAGAACGAGUGUGAGAAUGGAAAGUUCAUGCUGUGACGGUACUUAACCAGAAAGGGACGGCUAACUACGUGCCAGCAGCCGCGGUAAUACGUAGGUCCCGAGCGUUGUCCGGAUUUAUUGGGCGUAAAGCGAGCGCAGGCGGUUAGAUAAGUCUGAAGUUAAAGGCAGUUGCUCAACCCUUUUAGGCUUUGGAAACUGUUUAACUUGAGUGCAGAAGGGGAGAAUGGAAUUCCAUGUGUAGCGGUGAAAUUCGUAGAUAUAUGGAGGAACACCAGUGGCGAAGGCGACUCUCUGGUCUGUAACUGACGCUGAGGCUCGAAAGCGUGGGUAGCAAACAGG